rnacentral:misc_RNA from 1 species
GAUGAAGAACGUAGCGAAAUGCGAUAAGUAAUGUGAAUUGCAGAAUUCAGUGAAUCAUCGAAUCUUUGAACGCACCUUGCGCUCCCUGGUAUUCCGGGGAGCACGCCUGUUCGAGUGUCGCGAAAUUCUUCAAGCCUUGGAUGGAUUUUUUUUUGUCUGUCCUUGGGCUUGGUUGUUGGGCUCUGCCGUGUCCUUCAUUGGGACGGCUGGCCUUAAAAGCAUUAGCCGAUCCUCGUGUGGUACUGGUUCUACUCAGCGUGAUAACAAUCUGAUCGUUGAGGACAUCUUCUGGAUGGCCAGUCAUCAUUUGGGUUGCUUCUAAACCGGUUUCGCAGAUUGCUCAAUCUGUGUGCCACUUUUCAGCUUUGACCUCGAAUCAGGUGGGACUACCCGCUGAACUUAAGCAUAUCAAUAGCGGAGGA